GGUUGUGGCUCAGUGGUGGAGCGCUUGCCUAGCAUGCAUGAGGCACUGGGUUUGAUUCCCAGAACUA
rnacentral:tRNA from 1 species